GGAUCUGAGGGUGAUCUGACUGCUAUGUCUGUCACCCCACUGAUCACCAGGCUUGACUCAGCUGGUCUGGCUGUCCAGGCUGGUGUCUCCUCCUCCCUCGAUGAUCUGUGAGCAUCCCUCCCGAAGCUUCAUGCUCCAUCAACAAGGAUGACCUUUCCCAAUAGAAGAGGACCAUUUUGGGGUCAAGGGUAUACAAAUAGCUACAUUCCCCCUGCUGAAACUUACAAACAAGCUCUUUAGGCCCAUUUGUAGGAGUACAUAGGGUAGUCAAGCUUCCAAGACUCCAGACCUUCCUUUAAAAAAAAAUUUUUUUUAA
rnacentral:snRNA from 1 species